UAAGAAUAAUUUUUUUGUUCAGAAAGAGUUCGGAACCCUGUUCGCUUCGAGCCGUGAAGAGGAUGGUGCUGGCGUCGUCGCCUAUGAGGCACUCGGCGAUUCUUGUAGGGCGGAGGCGGGGUGCGGCCGUCGCCUCCCUUGCGGAGGACGGUUUUGGACUCGAUCAUGUUAGCCAGGUGGCCGCUUGUCCCCCGGCUUCAGCUGAUCCACCUCUUUGCUCAUCGAGCUCCCCCUUGCUGUUGCGCAGUCGCCAUGGCCACGGAAACCCUAAUCAAAUUCCAUCUUCGCCCACUUUAACUUGUGCUGGGUCUGGCCGAGGAUUCGCGUUUUGGGUUCGAUUCGCGCGUGUUAUCUCCCACAAUCGAAAUUCCAUUUUUGUCCCCUCUCCUCUUCCCUCUCUUCUUGAACGCGCUACGCUCUCACCUCCGUUUCUUGUACCACCUCGAUCACCGAAUCAGUCAUUUUGCAUUUGCCAUUUGAGGCGUCGAAUUGUUUAAUUUGAUCCGUUGUGUCCGCUCUGUGGAUCUUGCAACUCGAAGCAGCGAGGAGACAUCUCUCGUUCCAUGUUUUACUGAAGAGACGAUUAGGAUUCCAUGUUGGAUGUGAGCUCUCCUUCACGAACAGUGAUCAGAGCAUCCAAAGAUCAUCUCUUUCUAUGUUUUGUGCAACUUGUGAGGUUUAUUAUGGCGUGGAUUCCCAGUGUCUAGGUGUACUGCAGUCUUGAAGGCGGCUUUCUAUAAUUACAUUCUUCUUUCAGGUGAUCGGCGACCGCCUCCUCCGGCGUACUCUCCUCUGGCAAUUGGCUAUCUUCCCUUCGGCAUGCAGGUAUUUCCCUCUCCCUCUCUCCUUUUAUCAUUUCACCAUGGCUACUGGCGCCAAGCGUUGCCGCACCCGACAGUGCUUUGCUGGCGUCGAGAACUGCCGUGCCCACAGUGCUCGGUUGGCGCUGAGAACUGCCAUGCGUGCCCGGCAGUGCUCGGGCGAUGCUGAAAACUACUGUACCUGGCAGUGCUACACUGUCGUCGAAAACUAUAGUGCUCAGUCGCCACUGAGUGCUCGACCGCCACCGAGAACUUUGCGCCCGGCAGUGCUCGACCAGUGCCGAACAAUGGCAUGCCCGACAUUGUCAAUUUCUAAGAAUAUCAAUUUCUAUUAUAACUCUCAUCUAUUAAUUGUCUCAUCUUUAGCAAUGAAAUUAUGAGUUACUCCUAUAUAUAUCCAACGUAGCUCAAAAUUCUCAUGCAGAAACAAGUUAUGAUGUCAUCUUAUUAUAGUGGCAUUAAAACAUUGAUGAUGCUACAUUAUACAUAACUAUUUAGCAUCCUGAGCUUAACACGCUGAGCAUGUUACUAUAUUAGCCAAGCAAUAUGUACAAUGGUUGAACAUGCUUAGUUUUACACGUUAAAUUAAAUAGAAUGAUUUAAAUAUAAAUAUGCUUAGUUUGACAUGAUUAAUUAUAUUGAAAAUUUUAUUCUUAUUAGGAUAUAAUGUAUAUGAACAAUGUUUAGAUGUACAAUAGAUUAGAUAAUGCAUUUAUCAGUCAAGAAUUUUUUGCUAGGUUGAAGAGUUUGUGAACUUCGUUAAGUCUCAUCUAGAAUUGUAAUGAUGCCUAUUAAAGUGUUCAUAUAAUCAACGCAGAUGUAGAAAUAUAACUUUUCGUAAUGAGGAUUUAAUGAAAACACACAUACAUAUGUAGGUAUGAGUUUGUUCUAAACUAUUACAACUGGUAUUAUUAUGGAGAGCCAUAUGUAUUUGAUCAAAUUGGACAUUCUGUUGCUUUGUCAUUCUGCCCAAUUGCUCUAGAGGAAUCAUCAGGGCUCGUGAAUACAAUGCAGUCAAUGGUUUACAACGCAAUGAAUGCAUAUGAUCAAUUGAAUAUAGAGGAAACACUUACACCUGAAGUUUAGAAAAUGUAUGACAUGUAAAAUGCUAGUAAAAGAGAAUUAUCGGAAGAUAUUCUUUUUGGUCAUUUUCAACUAUCAGCUAUUGCAAGAUUACUGAACAUGAAGGCAGAACAUUAUUUCUCUGAACUAUGUUACAAUGAUAUGCGUCAAUUGAUAGUAGAGUUACUCCUCGCUGAUAAUUGCAUGAUUGAUAGUUUCUAUAAUACAAAGAAAUUGAUUAGAGAUUCGAGUUUGCUAGUAGAGAAGAUUUAUUAUUGUAUCAAUAAUUGUAUGAUCUUUUGGAAUGAAAAUAAUAAACUAAUGGAAUGUAGAAUGUGAAAUUACUCUCAUUAUAAGCAGAGUAGUAGUAUACUUGGGAAGAAGAAGAAAAAUAUUCUCUUAGAAGUCAUGUGUUACUUUCUAUUAACUGUUAGGCUCCAAAGUUUAUAUGCAUUUGCCGUAACAGCAAGGUGACAUCAAAACCAUGUACAUGAAGGAGAUAGAAUGCGUCAUCUUUACAACUCCCCUGCAUGGAAACAUCUUGAUAUAAAUAUUUUCUUCCUUUGCAAUGGAACCACGUAAUGUGAGAUUUGGACUUUUGGCAGAUGAAUUUUAGCCAUUUGGAAGCUAUGGACAAUAAUAUUCAUCUUGGUCGGUUAUAUUAACACCAUACAAUUUACCUUCAUGGAUGUGUAUGAAAGAUGAAUUUAUGUUUGUUACUAUUCUUAUUCCAAAGUUCUCAAAAUUUAAAGAGGCAAAUAAAUAUUUUUUUACAACCUUUGAUUGCAGAGUUAAAUCAUUUAUGGAAUGUAGGAUCGAAGACUUAUGAUAUUACAAGUAAAUCAAACUU